GCAGUUUUUUUACAUCUUAAUAUUUUAUGAUGUAUUUAAAUGAGUAGUUAUUGUUGCAAACUCCAUUAGAAAUUUGAAUUGAUAUCAGUUUUGAAAAAGGGAAACGGGGAUGUGAAAAAAAAGGGGGGGGGGGUUAAAUUUUUCUCAUUUCAGAUUUCAUAAAUAAAAAGAAAAUUUCUUCAAACAUUUUUUUGAGAGGAUUAAUAUUCAACAGCAUAGUGAAUUGCUCAAAGGCAAAAAAAAACCUUUUAAGUUCAUUAGACCACAUUCAUUCUGUGUCAGAAACCUAUGCUGUGUCAACUAUUUAAUUUUAGAUUUAAAAAGUUUGAAGAAGAAAUCUUUAAUUGAUUUGUAAAAUCUUGGCAUUUGUUUUGUGUAAAAAAAACCCAUGUAAUGUCAAAAAUUUGAUCACAAUCCAAAUUCAGAGCUGUAUCAUGCUUGAAUGUUUUGUCCAUACUUGCCCCAACUGUUCAGGGUUCGACCUCUGCGAAGUAUAAAGCUGCGCCCUGCGGAGCACCUGGUUUUUUAUUGGUGAAUACAUUAGUUGACCUGGCUAUCUCGUGUGGGAUUUUGUAUUCAUGGUUUGGCAUCACAUCAAAGCAUACCCCAUAACAACAUUCAUUCAAAUGAAAAUUUUGAAGGUAAAUUAGUCAUAUUCGCCACGUGUGGAACCCUAUUUGAUUGUUUGUGUACGGAAAUUAAAGCUACUCGGCAGACUGAAUCACAAUUGGUAAAGCCUCUAGUUGUCAAAUUCUUAGUUAUUAUGUCAAAUUUGAGAUGGGCUGAGAGUUGAAUCAUCUUAAGACAAAAAGGACAAAGAUAUACUUAUACAGUGUAUCUAUAUAUAUUAUCACCAAUAUUAUCAACAGCUAAUUUAUUGCUGUUCCUGAUCUUGAAAGUUACUGGAAUAUCUUCAACAGUGAAAUUCUAACUCACAGCAAGAUCAAGAUGACUCGUGUAGUACUUUUAGUAAAUAUUUAUUCUGCUAGUCGUAAAUAUAACAUCCGCUUUAUAUUGAAGAAAAAAAUCUGCUUGACAGAUACAGAUAAGCAGUAAGUUUACUCGUAUUAGUAGAUGACUCAAUAUAUUAAUCAUGAAAUUAGUGUCUUAUCCAUUUGAUACUUGAAUACUGUAAAUUUGAAAAUUAUUGCGAUAAUAAUUAAUCGUAAUAAUUUAAACUUGCAUUUUGGAACUUUUAUUUAAAUGAAGCAGGAUUUUUCUCAAUAUCCCAAAAAUUAAAAUCCAGUCGGUUGGUUAAUGACAAAAUUGCAAUAAUAAAUGCACUAAAUAAUUUCUGAAUUUACGUUAUCUAGGUAAUUUUAAAUAGAUAUUAUUUUUUUUUAAGACUAAACAUUUACAAUUAGAUAUGAUAUAAAUGUAGUUAUUUCUUUCCUGUUUGAUUGGCUUUUUUCUAUGAAAGUUGUAUUUAUUAUAUAUUAUAUAUAACACUCUGCCAAAAUCAUCAAAAUGCUGUAUUAAAAUAAGAUUUUUGAAAUAAUAUAUAUACUGACAUGAUUUUGCUGCAGAUUUGUUUGUUAUUUAUAUUUAUGAUUAUAC
rnacentral:lncRNA from 1 species